GUGUCAGCAGCCGCGGUAAGACGAAGGUGGCGAGCGUUGUUCGGAAUCACUGGGCAUAAAGCGCACGUAGGCGGCGAUGUAAGUCGGGUGUGAAAUCCCUCGGCCCAACCGAGGAACUGCGCCCGAAACUGCAUUGCUUGAGGAUCAAAGGGGUGCUCGGAAUUUCCGGUGGAGCGGUGAAAUGCGUUGAUAUCGGAAGGAACGUCGGCGGCGAAAGCGGAGCACUGGUUGAUUUCUGACGCUGAGGUGCGAAAGCCAGGGGAGCAAACGGGAUUAGAAACCCCUGUAGUCC
rnacentral:rRNA from 1 species